rnacentral:rRNA from 1 species
GACGAACGCUGGCGGCGUGCUUAACACAUGCAAGUCGAACGGUAAGGCCCUUCGGGGUACACGAGUGGCGAACGGGUGAGUAACACGUGGGUGAUCUGCCCUGCACUUCGGGAUAAGCCUGGGAAACUGGGUCUAAUACCGGAUAGGACCCUGGGAUGCAUGUCCUGGGGUGGAAAGCUUUUGCGGUGUGGGAUGGGCCCGCGGCCUAUCAGCUUGUUGGUGGGGUGAUGGCCUACCAAGGCGACGACGGGUAGCCGGCCUGAGAGGGUAACCGGCCACACUGGGACUGAGAUACGGCCCAGACUCCUACGGGAGGCAGCAGUGGGGAAUAUUGCACAAUGGGCGCAAGCCUGAUGCAGCGACGCCGCGUGAGGGAUGACGGCCUUCGGGUUGUAAACCUCUUUCAGCAUCGACGAAGCGAAAGUGACGGUAGGUGCAGAAGAAGGACCGGCCAACUACGUGCCAGCCGCCGCCGUAA